AGCGAACGCUGGCGGCAGGCCUAACACAUGCAAGUCGAACGAACCUUUCGGGGUUAGUGGCGGACGGGUGAGUAACACGUGGGAACGUGCCUUUAGGUUCGGAAUAACUCAGGGAAACUUGUGCUAAUACCGAAUGUGCCCUUCGGGGGAAAGAUUAAUCGCCUUUAGAGCGGCCCGCGUCUGAUUAGCUAGUUGGUUGAGGUAAUGGCUCACCAAGGCGACGAUCAGUAGCUGGUCUGAGAGGAUGAUCAGCCACAUUGGGACUGAGACACGGCCCAGACUCCUACGGGAAGCAGCAGUGGGGAAUCUUGCGCAAUGGGCGAAAGCCUGACGCAGCCAUGCCGCGUGAAUGAUGAAGGUCUUAGGAUUGUAAAAUUCUUUCACCGGGGACGAUAAUGACGGUACCCGGAGAAGAAGCCCCGGCUAACUUCGUG
rnacentral:rRNA from 1 species